UUUUUUUUUUUUUCAAUGUCUCAAAUAUUGAUAUUGUGUCAACUUGAUUUUAAUUAAAUUGAUUUUUAUUAAUACAUGUCAUUUUCAUAUUUGUUACAUAUUUGUUGAUUUUUUUUUUUCAUUUUCAAUUUGUUAACUGUUUUUAAUUGUUUGAAAGUGAGUUUACAUUGCCUGCAUAUAUACAUACAUACAACUUUGAUGACCUUAGCAUCAAUUCAAGUCAUUUAAAGAUUAGCAAAUAUCUUCAAGUGAACAAACUUUUCCAUAUUGAUGUACUGAAUAUCUUAAUGGGGUUUUUACAUCCUGGCUCUAUAUUUCAGUAUAAUCAUGAUUAUUUUCAUUUAUUUGUACAUGGCAAAAAAUUGAACUAAUAGAAUACAAUUCAGUUGUUAUGUGCUGUAGAAGACUUUUAAAAUUGCAAUUCUGAUAUGGUACACAAAGAAUAAAAAUUGCAGCUUUACUUCAUUUUAACAACAGCCAGCAUACCAAAAAGACAUCAAAAGUACUGUGUCUGGUUUUUUGUUGAUUUUGUUCACUAAUUAAUUGUAGCUUCAAUAUUUCUCAAUUUUUGGGAACUCUUCUAGCCUGAUACAAUAGAAUUCUACUCAUUAAUGACAAUAAUUUAAUACCUAAAAUCUAAUAAAUGUCAGAUUCAUG
rnacentral:misc_RNA from 1 species